rnacentral:lncRNA from 1 species
AUGCAGGGGCGAUGCCCCAAUAAAUGCCCCAAUAAAUGCCCCAAUAAAUGCCCCAAUAAAUGCCCCAAUAAAUACCCCAACAAUUCCGCGCCGCUCCGCGCCCUCUCACCGCCGCGUCCCGGUCGCUGCCCGCUUCCCACUACCGGGACCCGCCCCCGCCCUCCUAUUGGUCCGUCAGAGGUUCGGCCACACCCCCCGUGUUUCCAUUGGUCCGCCGCUCGGCGGUCACGCCCCUCCCGCCACUCCCAUUGGCUCCGACUCCCCAGCGUCCCUCCGGCCGGGUCGCAGCCGGUGGGCGGGACUGACGGACGGGGGCGUGGCGAGAGGGCGGCAGCCAAUGAGGAACGAGUGGGCGGGGCAUCGGGCGGCAGGUGGCGAGCGGGGGUCCCUCCCCGGGCGGCGCGGUUGCCGUGGGAACGGCCCUCCGAGGCCUCGGCUGCGGGGCUCCGUACAAAAAUAGCGGGCUGGGAGCGGGCGGGAAAAGCGAAGCCUCCACGGGCCGCCAGCGGCCACAUUUGGCCCCGCCGCGCUCAGGCAGCGGCACCCCUGGGAGCGGCUCCCUCCUGCAGCGCACGUCCGCAGGCGGGGAGGGGAUGGGGGGGAUGGGGGGACACGGAAGGCGUGGAGGGGUUGGAGGGGCAUGGAGGAGCACGGAGGGGUUGGAGGGCACGGAGGGGCACAGAGGGGAUGAAGGGGCAUGGAAGGCAUGGAGGACCACAGAGGGGAUGGAGGGCAUGGAGGGCACGGGGGUAUGGAGGGGCAUGGAGGGUACAGAAGGGCAUGGAGGGCACAAAGGGGCAUGAAGGGCAUGGAGGGGAUGGAGGAGCACGGUGGGCAUGGAGGGGACAGAGGGGCAUGGAUGGGAUGGGGGGCAUGGAGGAGCAUGGAGGGCACAGAGGGAUGGGGGGGAUGGGGGCACAGAGGGGAAGGGGGCCACAGGAGGCACGGAGGGGCAUGGAGGAGAUGGAGGGGCAUGGAGGGGGCACGAGGCCGCGAGGCUCCAGCCCCGAGUGCUGCAGGGAGGCCGCGGGGGCUGCGAAUGCACACACCGACGUGCAGAACGCCUCCGUGCUUCACCCCCAAAGGAAAUAA